rnacentral:rRNA from 1 species
UACGGGGGGGGCAAGCGUGGUUCGGAAUUACUGGGCGUAAAGGGCGCGUAGGCGGCCCUCUAAGUCGAACGUGAAAUCCCCGGGCUCAACCCGGGAACUGCGUCCGAUACUGGAGGGCUCGAAUCCGGGAGAGGGAUGUGGAAUUCCAGGUGUAGCGGUGAAAUGCGUAGAUAUCUGGAGGAACACCGGUGGCGAAGGCGGCAUCCUGGACCGGUAUUGACGCUGAGGCGCGAAAGCCAGGGGAGCAAACGGG